GCUCCAUUUCUUCUACAUCCGUGCACAAAGCAGGCUAUUUUUCCAAGCACCAGCUCGUGUCAGCAGACUGCUGCAUGUGUUUCAAUGAUCACAGGAUCUUCUCCUUCCCAGAGACUAGUGAAGAUUAGAAAGAAAAAAAAAAACGCACUCGAGAUGAAAUGUUCUCUGAGCUCAUGCUGUCCUCCCACACUGACAGAGCACAGACGAAUGCGUGGAGGCAAAUAAUGUCAGAGUGCAGGAAAGCAUAAAAUGACCGGGAGGAGAGGUGGCGGGCUGAAGACAGGGCUGAAGCUCAAAUGUGGCGGCAGCGUGAUGAGAGGAGGCAGGAUUCAAUGCUGAGGCUGCUGGAGGACCAAACCAGUAUGCUCCAGUGUAUGGUUGAGCUGCAGCAAAGGCAGCUGGAGCACAGACUGCCACUACAGCCCCUGUGUAACCAACCGCCCUCCUCCCCAAGUUCCAUAGCCUCCACACCCAGAUGCCCAAGAACGCGGUGGGGGGGCCACCGGCCAACCAGCCACUCCGCCACAGAGGAUUGCCCCAAAAAAAGAUGGCUGACAUUCAAUAAAUUUUAAAGUUGUAAACUUUUAAA